CUCCACGGACAGCGCCUGACGUAGACGCUGAGGGGCGGGAGUAAGCGACGCGUCGCGGCCAAUCGCAGCCCCUCUAAAGACAUACACGUGUGUUAGACCCCGUCUGGAUGGAGUGGGUAGGGGUGGGGGAUGUGUCUUGCAGACGCUGCGGGUCGCCUUCCAUGGAGUCCGCCAUGUUGAACCGCCAUGUUUCUACAGUGUCCCAGAUUGGACAAACUAGACUCUGGCUGUAUAUACAGUCUUUCACAGUUUUGCAGUCUGUAACUUCACCGCUAGAUGCCACUGAUCCUUUAACCAUGUAGUCUGUAGUUGCUCAAACCUAACCAAACCCCAGCCUCAGAACAGAAAAUGCUCACUUAUUUUGCCAUGUCGAUAUGAGGACUUGUUGAAGGUGUUCGCAGUCUUAAACAACGAUCCGCUUCAAAGUGUCAGCCACCUGUGAUUGGUCCAGGUUUCUACUGGACUAGUCUUUCAUUAUGAUAACGAAGGGACAGCCCCUGUCCCAUAUGUGUCAGUGGAGCAAACACAGAGGCUUUAGCGGCUUGGAUCAUCUGUUCAGAGCAGUCAACCUGUCAUCCAUCCAGUAACCGUCCUGCUGUCGAGAUAUCCAGACAGUGUGUUGGCCCGUCAGUCUGCAUACACACAAGCUGGCGUGCUCAUAUGGCCUCAGACGUUACUGCAAAUAGAAGCAGCCGAUAAAAGACUGAAGCACCAUCUGCCCUGCACGUGGAGCGGAAGUGAGUGGACACAGAGCAGCGAGGGUGGGGAAGGUGGGGGGAUAAUGGGAUGAAACGUGCUGCUUUGCUUUUGCUGGCGGGCGAAGAACUGAGCAGAAGUGGGUCAGACAAAGGGAAAAUCCACUCAAAGUUAAGAAUGAAGGCAAUCUCUCUGGGAUAUUAGGCCUCAGUGUAGAGAGGUAUGACAGAGAAAAUAGAUAGAAAGACUGACCCCAGUGAGCAGGAUGUACAGGACACAUUGCACAUAUGCAAAGCGGCUGCUCACUCAUGCUGCAGAGCAGAGCUGACGUUCAGUGGGGCAAACAGCCUGAGUGGCUGCAGGGCCAAGCAUAUCCUCAGACUGCAGUUACUAGGUGAAGUUGCUUUAUAUAGAACUCAAGUAAAAGCAGGCUAUUAUGGGGAAAAGAGGUUUGGGCUAUGUGUUUGAGAAAGUGUGUGUAUAUAUGAAAAAAACACUUAAUGGGAGUGUGCUUUCACGCAUGCUUUCACACACACAAGUCCUCUAAGCAUUCAUUCAACCAUCUACAAUCAACACACAAACACAGCAGCCCACCCUCACACACACACACACACACACAUGCCACUUGGCAAACAUGUUAAUCACUGCUGUGCAAUUCUUUUAAAGGAUAAUUCCAGUUUAUUACAACUUGGGUCUUAUGUUUUCAUAGUUUUAGGGACAUUUGUUAAAAGAAAAGAAGGCGGGGCAAGGCACUUACAGGUUGGAAACAAACCCUGAGGUUACUCAAAAUUUUUUUUUUAAAGAAAUCGAAUCGUAUAAUUGACAUAGAUAGAUACUUGUAUACAAGCUGUUUGUUAAUCUUACUGGUCAUGUUUCUUGCUCUGUGAAGUUGUAGCGUUGCUGCUGCUUUCCCAGAUCUCAGAACAACUUGCUUUACUUACUUACUUACUUUUGUAAGCACAAUGCGAUCAGAACCAAAGGAUUGAUGGCCAAGGCUAUUAAAACAAGACCCAGAUUGUAGUAAACCUUCAAACUGAGCUUUCAUUAUUAUGCACAAUAGAGUGCUGCAGGGAUGUCGUAUUUUAAUUGGUUAACCAGGAAGUUAGCUCCGCCCUGCAUCCUUCGGCCAAAUCCUAUGUGACAUUUCCACUGGAUUUUGGGAUAUUACAGAACAUUUUCACAAAUGAACACCACUUUUAUCAUUUUUGAAGCAUAAAUGCAAUCGCCAGAGGUGAAAAGCGUAACAGUAACAGCACGGUCGCAUGACUUCAACCACCAUCAAUUCCAAUUUGUAAUUAAAUCUUGUAAGUUGGAAAGUUUGAGUUACAAUAGUUUGAAGAGCGCAACUAUAAACCCAACAAGGCUGUAAAGGUGGACUAUAGUGAGUAGAUAGUGUUCGUGUUUGGCGUGGUGACGUUUAAUGUCACAGACAACCUCUGUAAUCUCAUUGAGCCACUUUUUAGCAACUGCCUUUUUUAAAACCUGUAAAAGCUUCAAAAUUCACAUUUACUGGUGUAUUUUAUGUCAUAGAACCAAAUGUGAAAAUUCUGUUAACCACAGACUUUAUUUGUGGAACUAAAAACCAAUGCAAAAGAGCAAUGAACUUCGAGGUAAGGGAACUCAUUUCCGGGUUUUAUGACUCAUUCCUGCAGCACUCUGUGACAUGCAUCCUCCACUGGACAUCCCUGAAAUACUUCAGCCCCCAUCUAAUUCAGUGGCAUUUACUCCUGCAGGUGAGACCACCGUGAGCCUGUUAGCAUUGUGUUUGAGAAUGUCAGACCUUAAAUGAGACAGCUAAUUCAAUUUUAACUUCCUUUUGACCCCGUCCAACUGUUCAACAAUGGCCGUUCAGAGAUAUUUAUAAAUAUGUAAACUUUGCAUCCUGAGGCAGAAAAGGAAAUAGCUGAGCUGCUUUCUGCUGUGAUAUAUUCAUCUUCACAGCCCGUCUCUGUUGGGGGUCUGCUGUAAUCACAUAGCUAACUCAGCUCUGUUUAGAAAAUCUGACUUCAUUGUUUAGUUUACACCCAUUACAGGCCCCAGGCACGUGUGUCAGAAACCUGCUGGUGUGUUUGCACUGAGGAAGAUGGAUGCCCCCACUAGAAGACUCAUACAUUUCCUAAUGCCUCUUUAAAUCUCCCACUCUGUAUAAACAGUCACUACUUCAAUGCACACGUAGACGUUUAUUGAUGCUGCAAGCCUUAACAGACUGUUACUGACAGUUUAGAACUUGCCUCACUCACUCUUUGUCUCUCUAAAUGUCUCUAUGUACUCCAUAAAAGCUCCAUUGUUAAUAAUUUAAAAAUCUUAAUAUCUGCCUGUCA